rnacentral:sRNA from 1 species
GAAAUGUCAGAGAAACCUUUGUCACCCUCAAUACCUCAUACAGUAACACACUUGGUUGGACAUACUUAUAUAAAUGUGAUUGACAUUGAAGCUAAUGAUCUUCUACAGGAAUUACCUGUGAGAGAAGAGCCUUCAAAUGAUAAUGUUAUCAAACAGCAAAGCGAUCAUCUAGCAGUUCCAUCGUCUGCAGAGUUACAUUAUAUGGCAGCUUCAGUUACUAAUGCUGUUCCCCCACAUAAUUUUAAGAGUCAAGAAGUAACUCCAGCUUGUCUGGAUGGAAAAAGCUUGAGAGCAGGCAUUACAGAAGUGAAGGAGCCUAGUGUCACCUCACCUACACCAUCAGACAUACACCAGAACAAAGAUCUGCCAAAACCAGAGUUCCGAUUCAAAGGACAGAGCACAAAGUCAGACUCUGCAGAAGAUUAUCUAUUGUGGAAACGGCUGCAAGGUGUCUCUGCAGCUUGCCCUGCACCAAGCUCUGCAGCUCACCAACUAGAGCAUCUCAGUGCUAAGCUUCAGAAAAUUGACGAGCAGUUGCUAGCAAUACAGAACAUUGCUGAAAACAUAGAACAGGAUUUCCCCAAGCCUGAAAUGCUAGAUCUACAUUGUGAUAAGAUUGGACCAGUGGAUCACAUUGAAUUCUCUUCUGGCCCUGAAUUCAAAAAAACAUUAGCUUCAAAAACCAUUAGCAUUUCUGAAGAAGUGCGUUUUUUGACCCAUAUGGAUGAAGAAGAUCAAAGUGACAAAAAGGAGACUUCAGAACCUGAAUUUUCAAUAACAGAAAAUUAUUCUGGUCAGAAAACCUGUGUGUUUCCUACUGCCGAUUCAGCUGUCAGCCUUUCCAGUUCCAGUGAUCAGAAUACUACUUCUCCUGGUAUUGUUCUUUACUUUUUCAUUUACACAUACUCUUAUUCUCCAUUAUAAUGUUACUGAACAUGAUUUACUGGGAAUACAGUUAUGAAAGGUUUGUGAAGUCAUUUUGUAAUAUUUAUUUUAGGGGAAGGAUAGUUAAAAUUUUUGCUAGUCACAUGAAGAACUGUGACAUCUUGUCACCUUCAUAAGACAUACUGCAAUUAUGUAUCAUAUCUUGGUGUAACUUAUUAAUAUGAAAUAUAUAGCAACUGGAAUUACUGUAAUAGUUGAUUUUUACAAAAAUUGAAAAAUUAAAACUCUUCCAAUUAUAAGAACUUUGAAUUUUAAUUUGAAAACAAAAUAGUAGCCAUCAUGUCUUGAGCCUCUACCAUGUGCCAAACAUCACUGUUUUAUAUGCAUAGAUUCUGGUUUAAGCCUGAUCUAUGAGGUGUAGACACUAUUAUUAUCUCCAUUUUACAGUUGAGGAGAUUGAGAUUUAGAAGGAUUUAGUGCCACUUUUUGUUUUAUUUCAUUUGGAGGUAGCAAUUAAAACUGUUAUUCUUUAGUCCUAAUGAAUAUACUUUGUCCUAUGAAUAAUAGAACAUAGUAAAUACAUCAGUUCAAUCACUGACAGUGGCUUGGAAAUAUUUUUUUUUCUCAGAUAUUGAUGGUCAAUUAAAAUGAUUUUACUGAGUGUUUAGUAUAUGUUCUAUUACCAUUAUUAAAGUGAUAUAAACAGUAAAAGUGCUAUUUUAAAUGGCAUUACUGUUACUUAAAUAAAAGAAAACCUAUUAAGAAGCUGACUUUAAAUCUUGUAAUUAUUUUCUCAGUUCUUUCUAGAUGCCAGGUGUGUUUUAGUCGUCAACAUAUGGGGAUAAUAAUUUCCACUUCACAAAGUUGUGAAGACUGAGUAUCAUAUAUAAAGCAUCUGAGAAUCUUGUUUUAUUUUCUUGGUCACUGAUAGCUUUUCUCUUCUCUUCUCUGGGGAGGAUUGACAAAUGAGGUUAAACAGGACUCAUAUGGCUAGAUGGUAGAGGGUUCUAAUUAUAUCUGAGAAGUUUACACUCCAUUUUAUACUUGGGAACAUGGGAGAAUUCCAAGCAGAGAAGUAAAACAAGGAGGUUUUGAGGAAAAAUAGAAUGGAGGCAUAGAGACCACUGAGGAGGCUACUAAAAUCUGACCUGGGAAAUAAUGAGGGCCUGGCUAGUGUUGUGGGAAAGAAAUAGAAGAAACGAGAUAUUUUGAAUUAGUAACUGAUGGUACUCAUUGAUUAGGUGGGUAAAAGAGGAGGAGAGGGGGAACGUGGUUGUUUAGUGUUGCCAGAGUCUAAGGCAAAGGUAUAACUAGGUCUGAUGUCAAAGCCUAGACUCCAGUCUUUUGGCUUCCCUGAGCCACAUUGGAAGAAGAAUUGUCUUGGGCCACACAUAAAAUACACUAACACUAACAAUAGCUGAUGAGCUAGAAAAAAAAAAAGUCCAUGCAUAAAUCUCAUAAUGUUUUAAGAACGUUUACUUGGUAAUAAACAGGUACUGUGGCCGUGGGUUAGUGAUCCUGGGUUACUAAUAGGAGAAAGGGCAACUUGUUACUUACCAACCUUUGAUGACAAACACUUCAACCUUUAACCCAAGAGGUCACCAUCUUCGCUAAUCUCACCUACUUCCCCAUAUGCAGCCCAGUCGUUAUUGGAAGAGAAUCCUUCAAGCUUUUUUUCGUGAAUAGGCCAGCAGGGGCCUCUCAAAUACUGAUAGAAAGUGUCUCUUUAAUGGACCUUCUCCUUCCUAAGUACAUAGGAUUAAUAUCUUCUUCUACCUAGUAAAAAGCUAUAAGGGGUAGUACUAUUACUAUUACGCUAAUCUUAGAUUUAUGUGAAAUAUUUCUCUCUUAGUUAAAUUGAAUUAGUUGCUCUUAACCCACAAAUGCCCAGAUUCUGAGAACGAAAAUAAAAUCCUUGAUUUGGAGGUUAAUAAAUUAAAUAGAACAAUAUGUUUUCAAGAAAACAGGUAUUUCAUAUUAAAACCAUGUGAAUGUGUAAGUCUUAGGGACAGAUUUGGUUUAUCUCAAGAUAAUAAAAUCUUAAGGAAUAUUUUUUGAGAAGAGAUGUCAGAACACUUUUCCCUAUAUUAAUUCAGUCCUGUUUUUAGAAUUAAACAUAUAGAAGAAUUAAACAUUUAGAAUGAAACAUAUAGAAGACUGAAUAGAUUAAGUGUUUUUCUCUGAAGACAUGUAGUUAAUACUGGACAAGACUUAAAAAUUAUAUUUUGGGACACAUUCUUACAGGUAAAUUGCUUCUCGGAUUUAAAUAAGAUAUUUUCUAAAAUAUAUUACUUUCAGAUCACCAGAGAUUUGUUUUUUGUUUGUGUAUAUUUUAUAAAGUAAAUUGCACUCUAGUACUCUAAACUGUGUACUAAGCAAAGAAGGGUUGUGCCUUCUGACAUAUUACACUGAGUACUCAGGAUAGAAAAAGUAAUAAUCUUAUACUGGCUGGGUGCGAUGGCCCAUGCCUGUAAUCCAAGCACGUUGGGAGGCCAAGGCAGGUGAAUCACUUGAGCUCAGGAGUUCGAGACCAACCUGGGCAACAUAGCAAGACCCCGUGUCUACAAAAAAUACAAAAAUUAGCCUGCAUUGCGGCACACACCUGUAAUCCCAGCCAUUCAGGAGGUUAAGGUGGGAGGUUUGCUUGAGCCCGGAGGCAGAGGUUGUAGUAUGCCAUGACCAUGUCCCUGCACUUAGCCUGGGUGACAGAGUGAGACAUGGUCUCAAAAAAUAUGUAGACAGUAUUCACUAUCAGAUAGCAUAUUCAGGAAGAGGAUAAAUAUGCUGUAAAUAUAUAUCUAUAAACCAAUUUGGAAGUUUAAAAGUAUUUUAAUUUAAUUUCUGGUUAUAUAAUUUAUAAAUUAGAUUAACAAUUGAAAGCAAAAAAAACCCCGAAAUUUUUAUUAAUAAUGAUUUUUUUUUUAGGUAUGAAUAGCAAUGAUGAAUUGUGUGAGAGUGUUUCAGUACAUCCGCUCCAGAUGACUGGAUUGACUGAUAUUGCAGACAUUAUUGAUGACCUUAUAAUUAAAGACGGAGUUUCCAGUGAAGAACUUGGCUUAACAGAACAAGCUAUGGGCACCUCCAGAAUUCAGCAUUAUUCUGGCAGACAUUCACAAAGAACUGACAAGGAAAGAAGAGAGAUUCAAGCCUGGAUGAAAAGAAAACGAAAAGAAAGAAUGGCAAAGUACUUAAAUGAGCUGGCAGAAAAGAGAGGGCAAGAACAUGAUCCUUUCUGUCCCAGAAGCAAUCCAGCUAAUGAUGGCUAUAGCAUUUUAACAAGAGGAGGAGGUUGAGUGAUUGGGUGACCAAUUGGAGUUGUUCCUUUAAUUUUCAAUGAGAGUCAUUGGCAGUUGCGACAACCAACUAUGUGUAUUAAAGCCAUUUUAAAAACUCA